ensembl:snoRNA Gm24143 predicted gene, 24143
UCCUCCUACAAGGGCGUGGUUUUGGUUCCCUGUCCUUGGACACAUAAGAAUCGGAGGCAAAGAAAUGCGGUGGAUUUGGGAAGGUCUGGAACCAGCUUGCCCCCCCCCCCCCCCCCCGCAGGCUCAGGAUCAACCAUCCCACAGAG